rnacentral:rRNA from 1 species
UACAGAGGUCUCAAGCGUUGUUCGGAUUCAUUGGGCGUAAAGGGUGCGUAGGUGGCGCCAUAAGUCGGGUGUGAAAUCUCGGGGCUUAACUCCGAAACUGCAUUCGAUACUGUGGUGCUUGAGGACUGGAGAGGAGACUGGAAUUCCCGGUGUAGCGGUGGAAUGCGUAGAGAUCGGGAAGAACAUCAGUGGCGAAGGCGGUCUGCUGGGCCGUUGCUGACGCUGAGGCGCGACAGCGUGGGGAGCAAACAGG